rnacentral:rRNA from 14 species
CCAGCGCCCGCGUUAAUUCCAGCUCCAAUAGCGUAUACUAAAGUUGUUGCGGCUAAAAAGCUCGUAGUUGGAUUUCAGUCGUAGGCCGGUGGUCCACCGCCCGGUGGCUACUGCCUGGUCUGGACACCUUGCCAGCUCUCCGGCGAUGCUCUUGACCGGGUGUCGUUGGUGGCUGGAACGUUUACUUUGAAAAAAUUAGAGUGCUCUAAGCAGGUGCUAUCGGCUUGAAUAACACAGCAUGGAAUAAUGGAACACGACCUUGGUUCUGUUCUGUUGGUCUUUGGAAGCCAAGGUAAUGAUUAAUAGGGACGGACGGGGGCAUUCGUAUUGCGACGCUAGAGGUGAAAUUCUUGGACCGUCGCAAGACGAACUACUGCGAACGCAUUUGCCAAGAACGUUUUCAUUAAUCAAGAACGAAAGCUAGGGGAUCGAAGAUGAUUAGUUACCA